rnacentral:rRNA from 1 species
UACGGGGGGGGUAAGCGUUGUUCGGAAUUACUGGGCGUAAAGGGCUCGUAGGCGGCCAACUAAGUCAGACGUGAAAUCCCUCAGCUUAACUGGGGAACUGCGUCUGAUACUGGAUGGCUUGGAUUCGGGAGAGGAAUGCGGAAUUCCAGGUGUAGCGGUGAAAUGCGCAGAUAUCAGGAGGAACACCGGUGGCGAAGGCGGGACUCUGGGCCGAUACUGACGCUGAGGAGCGAAAGCGUGGGGAGCAAACAGG